rnacentral:tRNA from 1 species
GAAGUGUGAUGUUCAAGUAAAAGCUGCUAACUUUUUUCUUUUAAUGGUUAAAUUCCAUUUACACUUCU